rnacentral:rRNA from 1 species
UCAGGAUGAACGCUAGCUACAGGCUAACACAUGCAAGUCGAGGGGCAGCAUUGGGAUAGCUUGCUAUUCAGAUGGCGACCGGCGCACGGGUGAGUAACGCGUAUCCAACCUUCCUGCCAGUAGGGAACAGCCCGGCGAAAGUCGGAUUAAUGCCCUAUGUUCUUCAAUGCGGACAUCUAAGUUGAAGGAAAGAUUCAUCGCUGGCAGAUGGGGAUGCGUCCGAUUAGCUUGCCGGCGGGGUAACGGCCACCGGGGCGACGAUCGGUAGGGGUUCCGAGAGGAAGGUCCCCCACACUGGUACUGAGACACGGACCAGACUCCUACGGGAGGCAGCAGUGAGGAAUAUUGGUCAAUGGGCGUAAGCCUGAACCAGCCAAGUAGCGUGCAGGAAUGACGGCCCUACGGGUUGUAAACUGCUUUUAUGCGGGGAUAAAGUGCGGCACGUGUGCCGCUUUGCAGGUACCGCAUGAAUAAGGACCGGCUAAUUCCGUGCCAGCCGCAGC